UAAUAAGUGUUUUACUGCACUUUUUAAAAAUCAGUAUUCACCUUGUGUGCAAUGUUUGCUGACGAGUUUGCGUUUUACGCGUUCUUGGCAGCACAAUACCAACCCUUUAUUGAAAUUUUUUGUCUGAAAUUUUUUGAAUACAUAAUUCGAAAUA
rnacentral:misc_RNA from 1 species